rnacentral:rRNA from 1 species
UACGUAGGGUGCAAGCGUUGUCCGGAAUUAUUGGGCGUAAAGAGCGCGCAGGCGGUCGUUCAAGUCGCGUGUGAAAGCCCCCGGCUCAACUGGGGAGGGUCACGCGAUACUGAUCGACUCGAAGGCAGGAGAGGGAAGUGGAGUUCCCGGUGUAGUGGUGAAAUGCGUAGAUAUCGGGAGGAACACCAGUGGCGAAGGCGACUUCCUGGCCUGUUCUUGACGCUGAGGCGCGAAAGCUAGGGGAGCAAACGGG